rnacentral:tRNA from 1 species
AUUUAAAUAGUUUAAUUAAAAAUAUUGAUUUGUGGGAUCAAUGAUAUAGACAUUUCUAUUUUAGAUA